rnacentral:rRNA from 1 species
GACGAACGCUGGCGGCAUGCCUAAUACAUGCAAGUCGAGCGGACGGAUGGGAGCUUGCUCCCAGACCGUCAGCGGCGGACGGGUGAGUAACACGUGGGCAACCUGCCUGUAAGACUGGGAUAACUCCGGGAAACCGGGGCUAAUACCGGAUAACUCUUUCCCUCACAUGAGGGAAAGCUGAAAGAUGGCAUCUCGCUAUCACUUACAGAUGGGCCCGCGGCGCAUUAGCUAGUUGGUGAGGUAACGGCUCACCAAGGCGACGAUGCGUAGCCGACCUGAGAGGGUGAUCGGCCACACUGGGACUGAGACACGGCCCAGACUCCUACGGGAGGCAGCAGUAGGGAAUCUUCCGCAAUGGACGAAAGUCUGACGGAGCAACGCCGCGUGAGUGAUGAAGGUUUUCGGAUCGUAAAACUCUGUUGUCAGGGAAGAACAAGUACCGGAGUAACUGCCGGUACCUUGACGGUACCUGACCAGAAAGCCACGGCUAACUACGUG